UUAAAUGCAAUGAUGGGAAUAAGUAAGCUCGAUUGGAUUGCGUACAGAGAGCCGGUGGUUGCUGCGAACCGGUGCAAACAACGAUGCUGAAUGGGCCCCGGAGCCUAUGAACGGAAACUGGCUGCACGAGCAGCCGAAGAUGUUUGUACGGACGUUCCCCGUUACGGAGCAACAAGGCUUGUGGGAUAAUAAUACGCUUAGAUUGUAUAACAAAGCGUACCAUAAGCGAAUUAGGGUGGCACCACGGUCCCUCGUCCCUUGC
rnacentral:ncRNA from 1 species